rnacentral:lncRNA from 1 species
GUCUAGUGAAAGUAAAAAGAAGAAAAACAGAGCUAAGCCAAGGAAAUGAUUUCUUUCCCACCUACAAUGCAUGAAAAGAAAUUAACAUGAAAAGGGUCUGAGGAAGACAUUAAUAUUUUGAUAGUGGCAGAAGAAUGUUAUUUACAAAAAUAAUGACAAAUGUUGAAGAGAAAAUACAGGCUUCCUAGCAACUAGACCAAAGAUAAGAGACUAGGCCCAGACAGAAGGAUAUGCCACAGCAGGAGACAGGAUCCAGAAUGAGAAUAGACAAAAGACAUUUUCAAAAGUCCAGGUUCACAGCUUGACAGAAGCCUUCACACAGAAAGAGCCAUUGCACAUUGGACAGAUGAUCCCAGAAUGGAAGUUUCCAGAGGAAAUAACAGUCAAUAAACAGGACCAACUACAUAACAAAAGCAAUAUUGGUUACUUGCUGGUUUUUAGAACAUGAGCACAGGGGUUGAUCCCAGGAUUCUGUGCCUGCUAAGCAAACAUUCUGUCACAGAGCUACACCUCCCGUUCCAGAUGAAUUACUGGUGUGAUGAAUUUGACUUCAACUUAAUGACACAACUUGUAAUGUUACCAAAAAAAAAAAAAAAAAAAGGAAUAAUUCCACAAGGCAAACAUUCAAACAUAAAUCCACGAAGUUGAACGUCAUCAGCGAUCUGAUUCAUUUUAUGAUUAGAAUAACAUUCCUUAAUAAUUCUUAUAUAACAUGGCUUGAGAUACCCAAAGUACAUAUUUUCUAUCAACACAAAUGCUUCUUCACCAUGUAUCCUAGGAAAAAAAUCACCUAGGGGUGAUUAUUAAAAAAAAAAAAAAAA